GGGUCAGUAGGUUGGUCGUGCCACCGGUACGUACUGGUCUCACUGAUUCCUCCUUCCUGAAGAACCGUAAUGCCAUUAAUUUGGUGUUGCGGGGAAACAGGACUGUUACUUUGAAAAAAUUAGAGUGUUUAAAGCAAGCUAACGCUUGAAUACAUUAGCAUGGAAUAAUGAAAUAGGACGAUCGAUCUUACUUUGUUGGUUUCUAGGAUUGACGUA
rnacentral:rRNA from 1 species